AGUACAAACUGAACAGGCCGGGGAGCCUCCCUGGGGCCGGGUCACGCUACGUGGCAGUGGAUGAACAUCCGCGGGACAGU
rnacentral:ncRNA from 1 species